AGAACGAACGCUGGCGGCAUGCCUAAUACAUGCAAGUCGAACGAACUCUUCGGAGUUAGUGGCGCACGGGUGCGUAACGCGUGGGAAUCUGCCCUUGGGUUCGGAAUAACAGUUGGAAACGACUGCUAAUACCGGAUGAUGACGUAAGUCCAAAGAUUUAUCGCCCAAGGAUGAGCCCGCGUAGGAUUAGCUAGUUGGUGGGGUAAAGGCCUACCAAGGCGACGAUCCUUAGCUGGUCUGAGAGGAUGAUCAGCCACACUGGGACUGAGACACGGCCCAGACUCCUACGGGAGGCAGCAGUAGGGAAUAUUGGACAAUGGGCGAAAGCCUGAUCCAGCAAUGCCGCGUGAGUGAUGAAGGCCUUAGGUGUAAAGCUCUUUACCGAGAUGAUAAUGACAGUAUCGGAGAAUAAGCCCCGGCUAACUCCGUGCCAGCAGCCGAC
rnacentral:rRNA from 1 species